rnacentral:sRNA from 1 species
GAUAUUUUAGUUAUUUUUGUGUAUUUUUAGAUAUAUUCAAGCAAAACUACUCGUGUUGUUUUGGGAAUUUUUGAAAAUUUCAAGUAAUUUAAUAAAUUUGCACAGAAAAUUUUGAUAUUUGAAUAUAUAAAUAAGUCUGAACCUGAACUCAAACCGAACCCGAUCCAAAAUCUUAAAUUACCCGAACGGGUCUUAAACUUCUAAAUCCAAAAAAUCCGAACCCGAAAUAUUUGACCUAAAUACCCAAACGCCCAGGACUAGCAGUAACGAGCCUUAACCCGUUUUGAGUAAAGCUUUUUUU